rnacentral:rRNA from 1 species
CAGUCGCCGCGGUAAGACAGAGGAUGCAAGCGUUAUCUGGAAUGAUUGGGCGUAAAGCGACUGUAGGUGGCUUUUCAAGUCCGCCGUCAAAUCCCAGGGCUCAACCCUGGACAGGCGGUGGAAACUACCAAGCUGGAGUACGGUAGGGGCAGAGGGAAUUCCCGGUGUAGCGGUGAAAUGCGUAGAGAUCGGGAGGAACACCAGUGGCGAAGGCGGCCAUCUGGGACAACACUGACGCUGAGGCACGAAAGCGUAGGGAGCAAACAGGAUUAGAUACCCGCGUAGUCCCUGUCUCUUAUAA